rnacentral:rRNA from 1 species
CCUACGGGGGGCUGCAGUGGGGAAUAUUGGACAAUGGGCGAAAGCCUGAUCCAGCCAUGCCGCGUGUGUGAAGAAGGCCUUCGGGUUGUAAAGCACUUUCAGUGGGGAAGAAAGCCUUGGGGCUAAUACCCUCGAGGAAGGACAUCACCCACAGAAGAAGCACCGGCUAACUCCGUGCCAGCAGCCGCGGUAAUACGGAGGGUGCGAGCGUUAAUCGGAAUUACUGGGCGUAAAGCGCGCGUAGGCGGUCUGAUAAGCCGGUUGUGAAAGCCCCGGGCUCAACCUGGGAACGGCAUCCGGAACUGUCAGGCUAGGGUGCAGGAGAGGAAGGUAGAAUUCCCGGUGUAGCGGUGAAAUGCGUAGAGAUCGGGAGGAAUACCAGUGGCGAAGGCGGCCUUCUGGACUGACACUGACGCUGAGGUGCGAAAGCGUGGGUAGCAAACAGGAUUAGAUACCGUGUAGUC